UACAGAGGGUGCAAGCGUUGUUCGGAAUUAUUGGGCGUAAAGCGCGUGUAGGCGGUGAUGCAUGUCGGGUGUGAAAGCCCUCAGCUUAACUGAGGAAGUGCGCCCGAAACUGCAUCGCUGGAGUGUCGGAGAGGAAGGCGGAAUUCCCGGUGUAGAGGUGAAAUUCGUAGAUAUCGGGAGGAACACCAGUGGCGAAGGCGGCCUUCUGGACGAACACUGACGCUGAGACGCGAAAGCGUGGGUAGCAAACAGGAUUAGAUACCCUGGUAGUCCACGCUGUAAACGAUGGGAACUAGGUGUGUCGGGUGUUGACCCCUGACGUGCCGCAGCUAACGCAUUAAGUUCCCCGCCUGGGAAGUACGGUCGCAAGACUAAA
rnacentral:rRNA from 1 species